rfam:Apaloderma vittatum contig84281, whole genome shotgun sequence.
GGCCAGUUAGCUCACUCGGUUGGAGCGUGGUGCUGAUAACACCACGGUCACGGGUUCAAUCCCCAUUCGGUCCC